UAAGUCCAGAGUGAAGAAUUUGCCAGG
rnacentral:piRNA from 1 species